rnacentral:lncRNA from 1 species
UGCUGUUAUAGUUAGAGGACGCUUUGUUUUUUUACUGGAUAGUUUAAUGUACCCUGACAACCACUUCACCAGAAACCGAGGCUCGGUUCGUUGGCCCGAUGUGCUCGAGUCAGGAGCUCCCAGCCAGGGAAAUUUGGAUUCGAGGGCAGGUGUGCUUUGGCUUUCAGUCUCAGGCUUUGUCUGAUGUCACACCUGCCCAAGACUGGCAUUACAGCCUUCACAGCACUUAGGAACAUGGCCUGUCCCUGCGUCCCCAGGGAUGUAAAGGAAAGGAUGUGGAUGGAAUCCCACCAUGUGUCACAUGUAUCCUGGGAUUUCUAGUGUCUCUUCAGGUCCCUUGGGUCAGACAGAGGUGCCUGGCCCCCUCUGCAUUGUCAGGCUUUCUGUCCUUGAAGUCUGACGUUAUAAUGAAUUCUAAGAGUCAGCCUUUUUGCCCCUAAGAUGAAUUUAUUUCUCAGAUCCAUGUCCCAGUUGCCUUGAAACAAACCAGCCCUUGUGAGGCAGGAAGCAGGGGGCCUCUGUGAGGGAGUCUUACCUGGAAGAGAGCGCCCCUCUGACCUUAGACCUCUCUCCAGAGCUUCAGAGCAGAGACAAGAGCCCAGAAAGGAGCAGAUGCUAGAUUUGCAAGAUCAGAAGCAGGUCUUGCUCCUCCUGCCCAGAAUGAACCAGACUUGAUGAUGCCACCUUCAGGAGCCACCACACUGUGUGACAGUGGGGCAUUUGGGCCGUCCCUGGGAAGUACAGAUGCGCUGCUGUCACACAUGUCCACCACCACAUGUGACAUUAGUGACGUUAUCCUGAUGUCACAGGAUCCAAGAAUGAUGAUCUGUGAAGAGUUUUCCAAGGUCACCUACUUCUAACUCUUUUGAAAGAUUUAAAGACAUUGGGCCUGAAAAUUUCAGUGACUUGUCCAGGGAAACGCAGUUUGUGACAGUUCACUCUCUCACAGGUAAGUUACCAAAAGCAUCUAUCGAAAGGGCCUUUUGAGAAAUACUUCCCAGCUGAAAUGAACAAUUAAAAAUUCCUGCCUUAAAUCCUCCCAUCUCUUUUACUAGGCUUUCCGUGGAUUGUGUAUACCAGGGGUUAAAUAAUAUUACUGAGAAAAAUAGGUAAAUGAUGCAAACUGAGUAUUUUUCUGCUAAGUUAACUUUAAUGAAGGAAUAGUGUCUUGUCGUUUGGCGUACUUUAAUUCAACUAAUCGGUUGUUUUUAUUUCUUUCUGUUAUUCAGAAGGACGCAUGCGUUAUUGUUAAAUCAAUCGAGUAAAGUUUAUGUUCACUCAGUAAAAAACUGCAGAUUUCAGCUCCAUGGUCAUUUCAGAAUCACACAAAGACAGGUGUUGCUGCCUGUCUAUGAUCCUUCUUGUGCCUUUUCAAGGCCCAGAGGGCCCUGUGCCUAUGGGGAGGAUGAUCCCCAACUGGGGUGCUGAGAUUUGAGGAGGUGAAUCUAAGAGCUGUAAGACAGCUAAAUCUCAGGACCCCUGUCUUCUUUCUGUCCCCUCAGCUGAACCACAGUCCUCUGUACUCGCCCAGGAGCCACAGAAAGUGCACAUCCCUCAGGUGAGCUCUUUAUUCAUUCCCUAUUUUAUAUUGUAGUGGAUUUAUAAGGUUUAGCAGGAUCCAUGCAUUAAAGGAAAAGGAGAAGUAGAAAUAGUAGAAAUCAAGUCAGUCUUGAGGAAAAAUAUACCGUGUUUUACUAUAAUUGUGAUGUGGCUGUAGCUUUGAGUGGGUAACUUUUGUCAGGGUAAGUAGUUUC